AACAGCUGAAGUAAAUGAAGAGAUUUUUCAAAGGAGGCUUGAAGAGUUAAGCAUUGCAGUCUUAAUGGAGGUGGGUGGAUGAACACACAGAGCUCAUUGCUGAACUACUGAAGUUGGCUGCUCCCUGGCUCCUGCACAUGCAAAACAUUUGAAUUUCCUGUUGGCUCAGAGUGUUUGCAUUGCAAGUGACAUCUGGCUGACAGGAACUUGGAGAAAUGGGCUACAAAGUGAAUGCUGCAGUUACCACGGUAUCAUAUUUAUCAAAAGCCUUAAGAGUUCUUGAACAGGAGAUAAUCUGACACAAUGCAUUUUACAGUAUAGAUACCUGAUACAUUACUUCAUCAGCAAAUUCAACAAGGCCGAGAUGUCUUCAUUUUCCUGGGAGCAAGAGCAGUAAGAGCAGUGUGGUGGAAGCAUUGGUGCUCUGUGGCCAGCCGGCGAGAAGCCACCAACAGCUGUGAUGAGCAGAGCAGACACGGGGACAGGAGGCAGCUGAAGCCAAAGAGGACCCACGCCUGGAGCUGUGUCUGUGUGAUUGCAGCAGAGAGAGGCCAGGACCCAAGGAAAUCCCAGCAGCAAGGGAAAAAAACAGAUUGACUCUCAGUGACUCAUUUAGCUCCUGGAUUGGACAGAUCUCUCCCCUGCUGGCAAUUUGGCUGAGCAUCAAUGGACAGAUACCAGGAUGAAUAGCUUAAAAUAAUUAGGGGUUGGGAAUUUGCAAAACUGCUAGCCAUCCAAUUCUUUACUGUGCAAUGCGAGGCAGAAAAAAGAAAUUACAUUUAGGUUAUUAAAUAUUAAGUCAGUGGAUUUACUUCCAUUUGGUGCAGAACAGGAAACUGGCUAAAAUUCAACAUUUAUAUCAUUGUGUUGAUGGUCUGUUUAUCACUGAGCAAGUGCCUUUUGGCAGGUCAAGCUCUUUGACACAUGGGGCAAAUGUGUGCUUAAUUUCUCCCAAACAGAAGAAUUAAUAUAAUAAUAAUUAACACAGAUGAGAACAAAAUUAAAAUCAAGUGCAGUCAGGAGUUCAGUUUAAUGCCAGGUGUCUCACAUUCUAGGUGUUCUGGGGUCAGAUUUUUCCUGUUGAAGGUAGCAAGGAUUUUGCCUCUGGCACUUAUGGGAGCUGAAGUGGGCCUUGGAUGUAAAGAGACAGGAUUCCCUGUACUUCUAUUUAAUGCAUAAAACCUGAAGCAACAGGCUCAUUUAGUAUCAGAAAAGGUCAGUUAAAAUUAUAGAGACAUCCUUUGGAGCAAAUCCUCUACCUUGUAUUUGCAUAUUUAUGAAUUAGAGAUUACGACAGGCUAUUUCAUUUAUUAGAGCAGCACUGCUAUAGU